AGUGAACGCUGGCGGUAGGCCUAACACAUGCAAGUCGAACGGCAGCACAGUAAGAGCUUGCUCUUACGGGUGGCGAGUGGCGGACGGGUGAGGAAUACAUCGGAAUCUACUUUUUCGUGGGGGAUAACGUAGGGAAACUUACGCUAAUACCGCAUACGACCUACGGGUGAAAGCAGGGGAUCUUCGGACCUUGCGCGAUUGAAUGAGCCGAUGUCGGAUUAGCUAGUUGGCGGGGUAAAGGCCCACCAAGGCGACGAUCCGUAGCUGGUCUGAGAGGAUGAUCAGCCACACUGGAACUGAGACACGGUCCAGACUCCUACGGGAGGCAGCAGUGGGGAAUAUUGGACAAUGGGCGCAGGCCUGAUCCAGCCAUACCGCGUGGGUGAAGAAGGCCUUCGGGUUGUAAAGCCCUUUUGUUGGGAAAGAAAAGCAGCAGGUUAAUACCCCGCUGUUCUGACGGUACCCAAAGAAUAAGCACCGGCGAACUUCGU
rnacentral:rRNA from 1 species